rnacentral:rRNA from 1 species
CAGCCGCCGCGGGAAUACGUAGGGUGCAAGCGUUAAUCGGAAUUACUGGGCGUAAAGCGUGCGCAGGCGGUUUUGUAAGACAGAGGUGAAAUCCCCGGGCUCAACCUGGGAACUGCCUUUGUGACUGCAAGGCUAGAGUACGGCAGAGGGGGAUGGAAUUCCGCGUGUAGCAGUGAAAUGCGUAGAUAUGCGGAGGAACACCGAUGGCGAAGGCAAUCCCCUGGGCCUGUACUGACGCUCAUGCACGAAAGCGUGGGGAGCAAACAGGAUUAGAGACCCCCGUAGUCCCUGUCUCUUAUAC